rnacentral:rRNA from 1 species
GACGAACGCUGGCGGCGUGCUUAACACAUGCAAGUCGAACGGAAAGGCCCUGCUUUUGUGGGGUGCUCGAGUGGCGAACGGGUGAGUAACACGUGAGUAACCUGCCCUUGACUUUGGAAUAACUUCAGGAAACUGGGGCUAAUACCGGAUAGGAGCUCCUGCUGCAUGGUGGGGGUUGGAAAGUUUCGGCGGUUGGGGAUGGACUCGCGGCUUAUCAGCUUGUUGGUGGGGUAGUGGCUUACCAAGGCUUUGACGGGUAGCCGGCCUGAGAGGGUGACCGGCCACAUUGGGACUGAGAUACGGCCCAGACUCCUACGGGAGGCAACAGUGGGGAAUAUUGCACAAUGGGCGGAAGCCUGAUGCAGCAACGCCGCGUGCGGGAUGACGGCCUUCGGGUUGUAAACCGCUUUCGCCUGUGACGAAGCGUGAGUGACGGUAAUGGGUAAAGAAGCACCGGCUAACUACGUG